rnacentral:rRNA from 1 species
GGAUAACGCACAUAUGCUGGAAUGCUUUAUGCGUCAAAUGGAUUCGUCCGCCCAAGGAUGGGUCUGCGGCCUAUCAGGUAGUAGUGGGUGUAAUGUACCUACUAGCCUACGACGGGUACGGGUUGUGAGAGCAAGAGCCCGGAGAUGGAUUCUGAGACAUGAAUCCAGGCCCUACGGGGCGCAGCAGGCGCGAAAACUUUACAAUGCGGGAAACCGUGAUAAGGGGACACCGAGUGCCAGCAUCAUAUGCUGGCUGUCCGGGUGUGUAAAAUACACCUGUUAGCAAGGGCCGGGCAAGACCGGUGCCAGCCGCCGCGGUAACACCGGCGGCCCGAGUGGUGAUCGUGAUUAUUGGGUCUAAAGGGUCCGUAGCCGGUUUGGUCAGUCCUCCGGGAAAUCUGACGGCUUAACCGUUAGGCUUUCGGGGGAUACUGCUGGUCUUGGGACCGGGAGAGGUAAGAGGUACUUCAGGGGUAGGAGUGAAAUCCUGUAAUCCUUGAGGGACCGCCAGUGGCGAAGGCGUCUUACUAGAACGGGUCCGACGGUGAGGGACGAAAGCUAGGGGCACGAACCGGAUUAGAUACCCGGGUAGUCCCAGCCGUAAACGAUGCUCGCUAGGUGUCAGGCAUGGCGCGACCGUGUCUGGUGCCGUAGGGAAGCCGUGAAGCGAGCCACCUGGGAAGUACGGCCGCAAGGCUGAAACUUAAAGG